rnacentral:tRNA from 1 species
ACUUAUAUAAUUUAUAGAGAAUAUUGUAUUGAAGAUACAAAAGAGACAAUAUACAUAUGUCUAUAGGUA